rnacentral:rRNA from 1 species
GGAAGAUAAUGACGGUACUUGAGGAGGAAGCCCCGGCUAACUACGGGCCAGCAGCCGCGGUAAUACGUAGGGGGCUAGCGUUAUCCGGAUUUACUGGGCGUAAAGGGUGCGUAGGCGGUCUUUCAAGGCAGGAGUGAAAGGCUACGGCUCAACCGUAGUAAGCUCUUGAAACUGGGAGACUUGAGUGCAGGAGAGGAGAGUGGAAUUCCUAGUGUAGCGGUGAAAUGCGUAGAUAUUAGGAGGAACACCAGUUGCGAAGGCGGCUCUCUGGACUGUAACUGACGCUGAGGCACGAAAGCGUGGGGAGCAAACAGGAUUAGAUACCCUGGUAGUCCACGCUGUAAACGAUGAGUACUAGGUGUCGGGGGUUACCCCC